rnacentral:rRNA from 1 species
CCUACGGGGGGCAGCAGUGGGGAAUAUUGGACAAUGGGGGGAACCCUGAUCCAGCGACGCCGCGUGAGUGAAGAAGUAUUUCGGUAUGUAAAGCUCUAUCAGCAGGGAAGAAAGAAAUGACGGUACCUGACUAAGAAGCCCCGGCUAACUACGUGCCAGCAGCCGCGGUAAUACGUAGGGGGCAAGCGUUAUCCGGAUUUACUGGGUGUAAAGGGAGCGUAGACGGCGAUGCAAGUCUGAAGUGAAAGGCGGGGGCUCAACCCCCGGACUGCUUUGGAAACUGUAUGGCUGGAGUGCAGGAGAGGUAAGUGGAAUUCCUAGUGUAGCGGUGAAAUGCGUAGAUAUUAGGAGGAACACCAGUGGCGAAGGCGGCUUACUGGACUGUAACUGACGUUGAGGCUCGAAAGCGUGGGGAGCAAACAGGAUUAGAUACCCGAGUAGUC